GGCUCAGGAUGAACGCUAGCUACAGGCUUAACACAUGCAAGUCGAGGGCAGCGGGAUUGAAGCUUGCUUCAAUUGCCGGCGACCGGCGCACGGGUGAGUAACGCGUAUCCAACCUUCCGUACACUCAGGGAUAGCCUUUCGAAAGAAAGAUUAAUACCUGAUGGUAUGACGAGAUUGCAUGAUAGCAUCAUUAAAGAUUUAUCGGUGUACGAUGGGGAUGCGUUCCAUUAGGUAGUAGGCGGGGUAACGGCCCACCUAGCCAACGAUGGAUAGGGGUUCUGAGAGGAAGGUCCCCCACAUUGGAACUGAGACACGGUCCAAACUCCUACGGGAGGCAGCAGUGAGGAAUAUUGGUCAAUGGACGAGAGUCUGAACCAGCCAAGUAGCGUGAAGGAUGAAGGUCCUACGGAUUGUAAACUUCUUUUAUAAGGGAAUAAACCCUCCCACGUGUGGGAGCUUGUAUGUACCUUAUGAAUAAGCAUCGGCUAACUCCGUG
rnacentral:rRNA from 1 species